rnacentral:tRNA from 5 species
GGGCCCGUCGUCUAGCCUGGUUAGGACGUCGCCCUGACGCGGCGGAGGUCCUGGGUUCAAAUCCCAGCGGGCCCA